rnacentral:sRNA from 1 species
CGUUCGAAUUGUAGUCUG